UCAAGUGCUGUGACGAUGCUGUUUUUAUGGACUAGAGUUUCUGAUCUGGGUACUAUUCCCGGUAUCUGAUUGAUAUACCCUUGGCUGUCUGAGCACUCUC
rfam:Cucumis melo, WGS project CAJI01000000 data, contig: 21705